rnacentral:rRNA from 1 species
UACGUAGGGUGCAGGCGUUAAUCGGAAUUACUGGGUGUAAAGCGUGCGCAGGCGGUUUCUUAAGUCAGAUGUGAAAGCCCCGGGCUUAACCUGGGAACUGCGUUUGAAACUGGGAGACUUGAGUGUGGCAGAGGGGGGUGGAAUUCCACGUGUAGCAGUGAAAUGCGUAGAUAUGUGGAGGAACACCGAUGGCGAAGGCAGCCCCCUGGGUUAACACUGACGCUCAUGCACGAAAGCGUGGGGAGCAAACAGG